GUAGGAUGGUUAUCGAGAGGGAUUUAUCUCUCAAGUGGCCUUUCUAUGUCUAUACAAACUCUUGUAUCGAAUGUAUCUGCGCUUUUAACGCAUAAAUAUAACUUUCAGCAACGGAUCUCUUGGCUCUCGCAUCGAUGAAGAACGCAGCGAAAUGCGAUAAGUAAUGUGAAUUGCAGAAUUCAGUGAAUCAUCGAAUCUUUGAACGCACCUUGCGCCCUUUGGUAUUCCGAAGGGCAUGCCCGUUUGAGUGUCAUUGUAUUCUCAAACCCCUUCAUUUUGAAGUGGUUUGGAUUUGGAGGUUGCGGGUUGUAGUGAAUCCGCUCCUCUUGAAUGCAUUAGCUGGAAACCUUACUACCGGCUUCAGUGUGAUAAUUAUCUGCGCUGUAGUCACUGUUAGGAUCCGCUUCUAAUCGUCUUAAGACAAUCUAUGACAUCUGACCUCAAAUCGGGUAGGACUACCCGCUGAACUUAA
rnacentral:rRNA from 1 species